rnacentral:rRNA from 1 species
CUACGGGCGGCAGCAGUGGGGAAUAUUGCACAAUGGAGGAAACUCUGAUGCAGCAACGCCGCGUGGAGGAUGACACUUUUCGGAGCGUAAACUCCUUUUAUAUAGGAAGAUAAUGACGGUACUAUAUGAAUAAGCACCGGCUAACUCCGUGCCAGCAGCCGCGGUAAUACGGAGGGUGCAAGCGUUACUCGGAAUCACUGGGCGUAAAGAGCGUGUAGGCGGGUUAAUAAGUCAGAAGUGAAAUCCUAUGGCUCAACCAUAGAACUGCUUUUGAAACUGUUAACCUAGAGUGUGGGAGAGGUGGAUGGAAUUUCUGGAGUAGGGGUAAAAUCCGUAGAGAUCAGAAGGAAUACCGAUUGCGAAGGCGAUCUACUGGAACAUAACUGACGCUGAGACGCGAAAGCGUGGGGAGCAAACAGGAUUAGAUACCCCCGUAGUC